rnacentral:lncRNA from 1 species
CAGCCCACAGUAACCCAGCGCACCAGGGAUCAUCAUCCACAGCUCACAGGCUUCUGGGUCUGCCAGGCACAGAGAUGCAGCUCAAAGUGGAGAAGGAGGAUACCACCCUGAGAAUCAGUGUGACUUCAAGCCAGGCCAGCACUACAUACUAUUUGGCUCAGAUGAUCCCAGGGAUGAGGGAGACUGUCUAAGGACAAAAAGACUGCAUGGAGUCCAGACAGACAAUAUUCCUUCUGAAUUAGUUGCACUGGUGCAAAUUCACUUGCAUUCAAGGUUUAAGACUGAAACAAGAUGAAAAUGCAAAGUUGAAUUCUGUGCUGCUCUGGUGAUAUAUUUUUCCCCUCAAGUUGACACUGCCAAGGACAAUCACUGGCCAGGACCAAUGCAACUCUGCAGCCACCCAGCCCACCUGGGGACAAGCUGGGAUGAUGCAUUGGCCGCAUCCAGCACUGACUGUCUGUAUUUAAGUUGAUUCUAAACUGAUAAUUGACCCAAAGCGUUCACUUAAAGGUACCCGCUGUUUUCAUCGCCCAGCACUUCGCAUUGGUCUUUAUGACAUCGUUUUCCUUGGGCUCUUGAUCUUCAUCCGAUCCGCUCAGAAUCAACCCACUCGGUGUUUUUCCACUCAUGCUUUCAUGCGACAGAACACUUCCUAAUCAUCUUGCAGAACAGGAUCUAAUUUAAAACAACUUUAGAAUA